CUAAGCCUUGUCCACUGAAAAGGCCCAGAAACAACAUAGCAAUGAGCCACGAUUACCAAGACUGUAGCUCCUGAAUACUAUUUCCCAUGAACCGGAACCUGAACGCUUUAGAGAAAUAACUGAUUCCAGUUUCAGGGCAAAAAAUAUACAAGAUGGUCUUGGGACAUCUUGCUGAGUCAGAAAACAAAGACACUAUUGAAACAAGUGGUUGUUUAAAAAACACGGAUGCCAGAAUGAAGGGGCUCCCAUUGGCCAAAGAUGGGAUGAUUUGAGCGUGGGAAAGGAUCAUGAUUGUAACUGAUUGGAACACAUAAAUCUAUCCAAAACACAUAUAAAUCCAUGUGUUUGUACUAAUACUUUAAAAAUAAAAAGCCCCGGCGCAGUGGCUCAGACCUGUAUGUAAUCCCAGCAAUUUGGGAGGCCAAGGCGGGAGAUCACUUGAGGUCAGGAGUUUGAAACCAGUCUGGC
rnacentral:lncRNA from 10 species